GAUGAACGCUAGCGGCAGGCUUAACACAUGCAAGUCGAACGGUAAGGCCCUGCUUGCAGGGUACACGAGUGGCGCACGGGUGCGUAACGCGUAUGCAACCUACCUUUAACAUUGAGAUAGCCCCGAGAAAUUGGGAUUAAUAUCGAAUAAUAUUAUAAUACAUCAUUGUAUAAUAAUUAAAGCUCCGGCGGUUAAAGAUGGGCAUGCGUAACAUUAGCUAGAUGGUAAGGUAACGGCUUACCAUGGCAACGAUGUUUAGGGGUUCUGAGAGGAUUAUCCCCCACACUGGUACUGAGACACGGACCAGACUCCUACGGGAGGCAGCAGUGAGGAAUAUUGGGCAAUGGAGGCAACUCUGACCCAGCCAUGCCGCGUGCAGGAAGACGGCCCUAUGGGUUGUAAACUGCUUUUAUAUACCAAGAAACCCCAUCACGUGUGAUGGCUUGACGGUAGUAUAUGAAUAAGGACCGGCUAACUCCGUGCCAGCAGCCGCGGUAAUACGGAGGGUCCGAGCGUUAUCCGGAUUUAUUGGGUUUAAAGGGUGCGCAGGCGGUACAAUAAGUCAGUGGUGAAAUCCCGAGGCUCAACCUCGGAACUGCCAUUGAUACUGUUGUACUCGAGUAUAGACGAAGUAGGCGGAAUGUAGCAUGUAGCGGUGAAAUGCUUAGAUAUGCUACAGAACACCGAUUGCGAAGGCAGCUUACUAGACUAUUACUGACGCUAAUGCACGAAAGCGUGGGGAGCGAACAGGAUUAGAUACCCUGGUAGUCCACGCCGUAAACUAUGAUCACUCGAUGUUGGCGAUACACAGUCAGUGUCUAAGGGAAACCGAUAAGUGAUCCACCUGGGGAGUACGAUCGCAAGGUUGAAACUCAAAGGAAUUGACGGGGGCCCGCACAAGC
rnacentral:rRNA from 1 species